rnacentral:pre_miRNA from 1 species
AGCCUUCUGUAUCCGUGCUGAGAUUUCGUCAGUAAUCAACCCGUUGGCACUGGCUGAUGCAAAUUCCCAAAUAAGUGAAGCG